GUGAGGAAUAUUGGUCAAUGGGCGCAAGCCUGAACCAGCCAUGCCGCGUGCAGGAAGACGGUCCUAUGGAUUGUAAACUGCUUUUAUUUGGGAAUAAACUCCGGUACGUGUACCGGCCUGAAGGUACCAAAUGAAUAAGCACCGGCUAACUCCGUGCCAGCAGCCGCGGUAAUACGGAGGGUGCAAGCGUUAUCCGGAAUCAUUGGGUUUAAAGGGUCCGCAGGCGGUCUUAUAAGUCAGUGGUGAAAGCCUACAGCUCAACUGUAGAACUGCCAUUGAUACUGUAGGACUUGAAUUCGAUCGAAGUGGGCGGAAUGUGACAUGUAGCGGUGAAAUGCUUAGAUAUGUCACAGAACACCGAUAGCGAAGGCAGCUCACUAGGUCUGGAUUGACGCUGAGGCACGAAAGCGUGGGGAGCAAACAGGAUUAGAAACCCCUGUAGUCC
rnacentral:rRNA from 1 species